AACGAACGCUGGCGGCAUGCCUAACACAUGCCAGUCGAACGAGACCUUCGGGUCUAGUGGCGUACGGGUGCGUAACGCGUGGGAACCUGCCCUUAGGUUCGGAAUAACUCCCCGAAAGGGGUGCUAAUACCGGAUAAUGUCUUCGGACCAAAGAUUUAUCGCCUUUGGAUGGGCCCGCGUUGGAUUAGCUAGUUGGUAGGGUAAAAGCCUACCAAGGCGACGAUCCAUAGCUGGUCUGAGAGGAUGAUCAGCCACACUGGGACUGAGACACGGCCCAGACUCCUACGGGAGGCAGCAGUGGGGAAUAUUGGACAAUGGGCGAAAGCCUGAUCCAGCAAUGCCGCGUGAGUGAUGAAGGCCUUAGGGUUGUAAAGCUCUUUUACCCGGGAUGAUAAUGACAGUACCGGGAGAAUAAGCGCCGGCUAACUCCGUG
rnacentral:rRNA from 1 species